rnacentral:rRNA from 1 species
AAUGAACGUUGGCGGCGUGGAUUAGGCAUGCAAGUCGAGCGAGAAGUGUAGCAAUACACGGAAAGCGGCGAAAGGGAUAGUAACACGUAGGUACCUACCCCCGGGCCUGGGAUAGCGGCGGGAAACUGCCAUUAAUUCCAGAUAACGCCUCCGGACCAAAGGGGUGAUUCCGUCGGGGGACGGGCCUGCGUCCUAGCAGCUAGUUGGUGAGGUAAUGGCCCACCAAGGCAUUGACGGGUAGCGGGUGGGAGAGCACGAGCCGCAUCACUGGGACUGAGACACUGCCCAGACACCUACGGGUGGCUGCAGUCGAGAAUCUUCCGCAAUGGGCGCAAGCCUGACGGAGCGACGCCGCGUGCGGGAUGAAGGCCUUCGGGUUGUAAACCGCUGUCAGUGGGGAGGAAAUGCAUGGGGGUUCUCCCCCAUGUUUGACCGAUCCGCAGAGGAAGCACAGGCUAAGUUCGUGCCAGCAGCCGCAGUAACAC